GUAGAUAUAGUUUAAUUAAAAUAUUAGAUUGUGAUUCUAAAGAUAGAGGUUAAACCCCCCUUAUCCACC
rnacentral:tRNA from 1 species